AGAUUUCCUAAAACCCAAUCGCACAAAAUCAGAAACGGCAGUUCGGAAAAGACCCAAAUCAUUUCCGUUUCUUACUUUCCACAUUUCCGCAUUUCAAAUAAUUGAAGGAAAAUUUUUAAAGAAGCCAGAAACUUCGAGAAACAGAGAGAAAGUGGUUCCAAUAUAAUUUAUACUUCAUUAUUCAGAGGACAGAAUCGUGGGAGAAAUCUCCCCUUUAUUUUUCCCACCGUUUAUUAAUUAUUAUCUACAGCCAUCAACCUUCAACCUUCAACCCCCCCCCCCCCCCCAUAAAAAAGGGGACUCAAAAUCAAAAACCAAGAAAAAAAAAAAAAAGCAGCAAAAAUGUAUCGAUCGAGAAGCCUUACCCCAGAUCAAAAUCAACAUGCGUUUUCAUCAGCAUCCUCGUCUUCAGACCUGUGGUGGUUGACCUUUGCCAACCCAAACUUCUUCGCCACAGCAGGCGACGGCGAUGACAGCGACGCCUCAACGAACUUCGCCGACGACAUCUCCAUCUGACAAAUCCGAACAGCCCCAAAGAGCCUCUCCGGCAGCUCAUCCUCAGCCUGCGCCUCCACCAGAAACCCCAUGUCGAUAGUGACGCUGGUCACGUACCCGAGCGCCAAGUGGAGAAUGGCGUUGGCUAUAGCGGAGCUGCCGAUGUCGACGUCAAUUUCCAGAUAGUUAGGACCUUUGUGGUAAUUGCACGUCAAGGCCUUCCCCAACAAGCAUGCGCUGUAGUUCCCUACAGCGGCUUUCACUAUCCACGGACCCUUCACGAUCCGGUUUACGAUCUUGAACCGCUGGUUCCGGAACGAGUCAUCGCCGUGAACGAAUCGGCCGAGGAGCGAACCGAGCGGAAUGGGGUCGUCGGUGGCGAAGUAGAAAACGGCGCUGUGGUGGUCUCUACCGGGGACCUGGAGAUUGACGGCGACGAUGAAGGUUUUGUGGGCCUGCGUUUGGGCUUGGGUCUGGGCCUUCCGGAGGGCGUGGACCACGCGGUUGUCGGGGCGGCCGAGUACGUUAUCGAGUUUGGAGGAGGCGCGUAGCCAGUCGACGCCUGCGGGCUUGAGAAGCCAGUCGCCGGAGGGGUAUUUUUGUUUCUUGGAGAGGUAGUGUUUGCCUCUGAGGAAGAAGAGAUCGCCCGGCGGUGAAGCCCAGCCGUUGGAUCCAGUGUGCAGGUCCACGUGGCGCAGAGAUCCUCCGUUGAUUGCUUCUUCUCUCCAAUCCGCUGUGGUCGUAGCGGCGGUCUCCGCGACAGCCAAGGCGGCCGCGGAGGAGGAUCUGGUGGCGGUAGCGGCCGACGCGCUGGCAGCCCUGUGCUUCUGCUUCGUGGGGCACAUUUCUCUCUCUCUCUCUCUCUCUCUCUCUCUCCGGUACUGAACGACUAGAGGCAGGCAAAGCUUCAGUGUGUUGCUAUAGAGCAGUAAAGUCGGGAAACCUGUGCCCUUGCUUUUCGAGGAAUCUACGAAAACGCCCUUUGGUGAUUUGGCCAGCUAAUCUCAUGGACUUUAUUUUAAUUUUAUGGAACUCUAGCCACCAACAAGCCAUUCCAACCCCGGUGCGGCACCAAACGUACGGAUCAUCAUCCUUCGUUCCCAAGGAUCGCUAAUCAGGACAAAGUCCAGAUGCUAAUACGGCUUCCGUGCAUCAAUUGGAUCUUCAGCCAACCCGACCUUCAGAACACAUCUCAAUUAUCAUUUACUGUCCCCGCUCACAGGAUCCUUUUUUUUUAACUGCACAUUAAGUGGAUUGUAUAAAAUUUUACCCUUCCUAUAAAAUUUUAUCAUGAAUGUAACUUAAAAAAUUACUUAUCAUGGGCUUUUUAAUGCA